CUGUACUAUGUAAAUUAUAUUGGAUAAAAACACAGUGAUCACAGUUCACACCUGCAGUGAAGCCCCUCCCACAACAGUUCACCAAUAAAUACUGGGAAUAUUCCCAUCAUCCUACAAGAGAAGGACAAACUCCAGGAGUAGCAGCGGAAAUCUGUGUGACUGUUAAAGA